rnacentral:tRNA from 1 species
ACCGAGAAGGUGUCCGUGCAAAUCGGAUCAUUUUGAGACUAAACAGCUAGCCUACCACUUCAAACCAAACAACCCC